rnacentral:rRNA from 1 species
CAGCAGCCGCGGUGAUACGUAGGGUGCGAGCGUUGUCCGGAUUUAUUGGGCGUAAAGGGCUCGUAGGUGGUUGAUCGCGUCGGAAGUGUAAUCUUGGGGCUUAACCCUGAGCGUGCUUUCGAUACGGGUUGACUUGAGGAAGGUAGGGGAGAAUGGAAUUCCUGGUGGAGCGGUGGAAUGCGCAGAUAUCAGGAGGAACACCAGUGGCGAAGGCGGUUCUCUGGGCCUUUCCUGACGCUGAGGAGCGAAAGCGUGGGGAGCGAACAGGCUUAGAUACCCCGGUAGUCCCUGUCUCUUAUAC